AAUGGAGUUGCUCAAAUGUCAAAAAUGAAAAUGCUAGUGUAUGGAUGUGGAUUCAAUGGUUUUUCACAAAUUGCUGCAUUUUGUUUUGAUGAUUUAAAAUACAAGUAUGAAAGAAGAGGAUUUAAUAAGCAUUACAAGCAAACAUUGCCAAUCAACUUAUUUGAACUAAAAGAAAAUGAUAACCUUAUAAGUUUGGUUAACACUUGGUCACAGACAGCCAUGACCAUCAAAAAUAAUGAUACCUCCACUUCUUAUUUAAACGGAUUUAAGUGUAAUGACAAUAAUGAAGAUGAUAGUAUCUGUACUUAUACUAAUCAACUGGUUAUUGCUUCAACUGAUAAGGAUAUCCUCCUAAAAAGUUAUUCAAAUCAACUUCCCUUUGGAAUAGUGGCAAAUGAUAACAGUUCACCUCAGGCAGUUAACAUUAUAGGAGCUGAAUCUUUAACAUUAAUCGCUGGAGAUCAUCUAGAUUUCCAUGCUGUUUAUGAUGGUUCCAAGUUUGGAAAACUUACUAUUUCUUAUACGGGAGAUGACAAUGGACAAAAUGGAAUAUAUUUCAUUCAAAAAAUCAUCAACACAAGAAUUUUAAUCAAAGAAGUGAGCUGUGGUAAAGAGCAUGUAUUGUUAUUGACGAACUGUGGGACUCUUUUUAGUUAUGGAAUAGGGAGUAGAGGACAACUUGGCCAAAGUUCAGUUGAUACAAAAAAAGUUCCGACUUUGCUGGAUGCACUAAAUGGAAUAGAAAUUAGAAAAAUUUCUGCUGGCGGUUGGCAUUCAACUGCAAUAUCAGAUGUCGGUGACUUGUAUGUUUGGGGAUGGAAUGAUUGUGGUCAGCUAGGACUUGCUGCAUAUAAAGAAAAUGUAUUAACCAAUGUUCAGACAGAGCCACAGUAUGUUCACUUUUCUGACGAAUGCUGUAUGAAGUCCGUUGCUUGUGGUUCAAGACACACUGUCAUAUUAUUAGGUAGUCCAAACUGGCGAAAGAGUGCGUUUUGAGGUCAUUUUUGUGGCUUUCAAAAAAAAAAAAAUCUCACUACUUCUAGCAGGUGAGUGCUAUAGUAUAAGAAUAAAGUUUGUAUGUCAAUAAAGUUUAAGUCUUCUUCUGUCGAAAUCUUGUGCUUUUAUAUCUGUAAGUUACAGAUAUAAAAACACAUGUUUGAAUGUGUGUAGUUAUAUUUGUUUGAAUAGUAUCGGUUACGUAAAAAAUUGACCGUUUUGCGAGUACCGAUCGACUACAUACUGUUUCGUUUGGUCGCGGCUUAGCAUCGUAGAAACAUAAUCGUAAUGUCCUUUGAAAGGGCGAAAUCUAGCCUAUCGUUUGAUGUAUAAAUUAAAAUAAUAAUGUCUUUAUUUAUUUUUAAGAAAGUACUCAAUUUUUUAUAGCUAGUUUCUAAGUUUGUGUUGUAAAUUCACUUAUUUCUCAUUUACGGCCGCGAAGCCGUGCCCUCACUAAACAAUUAUCCCUUGAGUCGACUUUCAGCCCCCAGUGAGUAGCUCGCUGAACGGUUUUAAGGGUUGACGACUGAUGAUGCUAAACGGAUUUUUACCCUUGUUAUAGCCUUCAAACAAGUUGAUGUUGAGAACCACAGUAUGGCAUCUUCAUCACUGAAUAUCUCAACCAGUGUGGCACAAGCAACGAAUAUUUCAUUCAGUAGACCUACUAUUAAAAAUAUAAUAUAAGGGAAGAAGGCCAAGCUACCCCCCCCCCCCUACAAUUCUCAAAAAUAUAUCACUCACUCUUGGUAACUUGAUGCUACCCAAGAUCAAUGAUAAGGGAAACAAGACUUAAAAAGAAUUGGAGUUGUGGUUUUAAAAAAAUGUUCCCCCACAGCAGUUAUCAACCCUAUAGGUUUGUAAAGAAACCAAAGCAUGUGGCAACUGCAGCAUCACCUGUGGGGACCAAGUCUUUAUUAGGCUACAUUACAACUCUACUUAAUUUAGAUUCUCUUGCACUAUAUAAAUGUGGCAUUUAUAAAAAUAAUAUUUUAACUCUUGUGAUUUUUGGAAAUAAUGAACACAUUCUUCCUGUUAAUGUUACCGCAAUAG